rnacentral:rRNA from 1 species
AUUGAACGCUGGCGGCAGGCUUAACACAUGCAAGUCGAGCGGGGUGAUGGUGCUUGCACUAUCACUUAGCGGCGGACGGGUGAGUAAUGCUUAGGAAUCUGCCUAUUAGUGGGGGACAACAUCUCGAAAGGGAUGCUAAUACCGCCUACGUCCUACGGGAGAAAGCAGGGGAUUACUUGUGACCUUGCGCUAAUAGAUGAGCUCAAGGCGGAUUAGCUAGUUGGUGGGGUGAAAGCCGACCAAGGCGACGAUCUGGAGCGGGUCUGAGAGGAUGAUCCGCCACAAUGGGACUGAGACACGGCCCAGACUUCUACGGGAGGCAGCAGUGGGGAAUAUUGGACAAUGGGGGGAACCCUGAUCCAGCCAUGCCGCGUGUGUGAAGAAGGCCUUAUGGUUGUAAAGCACUUUAAGCGAGGAGGAGGCUCUUUUGGUUAAUACCCAAGAUGAGUGGACGUUACUCGCAGAAUAAGCACCGGCUAACUCUGUGACAGCCGCCGCCGUAA